UGCUGGGCCAGGCUGAUACUGCGGAAGCUUCUGGAGAGCAGCCAGAGAGGAAUAGAACAAGCGCUUCGGAGAUUCCAUCAAAUCAUACCAGAAUAUGGUCUCUAAAAUCUAAGGAAGUGCUGCGAGAAGUGUGAGUGGUUCUGAAGGAUGGCAAGUUCCAGAAGAAAGGAUCCUAACGGCUGGUGGUCAAUCAGGAAUUGAAAGGAUCGGCACUAUUCAAAUAUCAAAAGCUGCAUCAGCUGAAGGAAACACCCAAACUGAUGGACACGGUUUUUCACAACUUCAUCGAAGUAUUGGGUUGAUGCCAACGAGGAUGAGCAUGAUCAUAAUGAUGAUGGUGAUGAAAUCAGCAUUUGAUCAACACCACCAUACUAUGAAGACCGAUAGCAUUAUGUUCCUUUUUUAACUAUAUAACCUUGCUAUCUUGAUUUUACUGGUAAGUGGUUGUGCCUUCCAAUGCUUGAUGUUUCUCGUCCUAUGUUCCUUCGAACGGUUGGAGUAGUCCCUAGCUUGCUUUUUGUAAUGCCCUGGAUUUAACUCACUUGAGAUAUUGUCCACUUUGGUCCAUCCCAUACUGAGUUUCAUGGUUUUGUCCUUUGCUGUACAGCCAAGCACUUUCCUAAGAGGUCACCAAUUCUAGCAAUGUUCAAGCCUAAGCUCGCUUAACUUUGGAGUUCCAAAGCAAAGCUUGUCAUUAUGUCAAAAGGUGCCUCCGUGAAUUAAAUCCAGUUCAUGCACACGCACAUCCGGAUCGCUCUUCCCUUGUUCAGCGUAUAGUUUGGUUCAUCCCACCCCCUUCGCUAUCCUAGAAGUCUACUAGAAGCCGCUCCUUGUCUAGCCCUCUAGCCCCGGCAAUCACUCCUUGCCUUCUUCGAACUAGGUGUAUACAUUAGUGCCCGUGCCUAUUUAGCUAUUCCAGCAUCCAACGAAGCUGCCAUUUUAAUGCGCUUCUUUUCCCCCUCUUUUGUUUUUCAGUAUUAUGGCGAUGUGCUUUGCUGAAGGAGUUGUUGGUAUAGGUAUAUUUAUUAACUUGUAUUCUAUCAUAACUCAUUCCUGGCUUCCUGCCAAGAAAAACAGAAUGGUGCCGAUAGAUCCUACAGAGUCGCAUGCUUUAUGGACAGGACCUACAGUUUAGAACUA